rnacentral:tRNA from 1 species
AAGCCCCGGCGCCCUCUAUUGGCGCGUCUCCGGACUUGCAUUCCGAUGUGUGCUCACCUCGGGG